rnacentral:lncRNA from 1 species
AUAUUCAAAGCAGUCACUCUGGCUACUGAGCCAUUUUCCCAGCUCUCCUUACUUCCAGCUACAAUUUCUUAGCCAUGGCUUUUGGGAACCUAAAGUACCCUUGACAACCAGCUUUUAAGAACUACAUUUUAGAAGACAGGGUGCUUCCUGGAGGGCAAAUAUUUCUGAUGCUGAAAGAUUAAAGUGUGUAGAAUUGUGGGUAAGAUGGAGAAAUUAAAAAUGCAUGGCAUGGUUCACAGAAUCACAAGGAUCUCUGAUUUAUCAAAUUAAAAGACACAUUUUUUUAAAAAAAUUGCAAUCAGUGGGCUUUUGAUUGACUUCAAGGGAUUACUUUAUUUGAACAAACAUGUUCUCAUAAUGAAAAACAAGUCUUUCUCCCUCCUUUUAGAAAGGAAUCUAUUCCACAAAUUUCCUUCAAGUAGGCAAAACCAAGAACAGCUGCUUUCCCUGUGUGGAGUGUCAGGUUACCUGUGUUAGGACUUGCUUCAGUUUUCUGUCCCUUCUGUCACCCGCCAUGAUUUUUGCACCCAGACAAGUUCUCCCUCCACUGAUAAGUCAUGCGGAACAGUGGCCUAGAGGGAGGCCUCACUGACCUUAAUUCUGUGGUUUCGGUUCAUUCUUUCAUUACAUCAUUGCAGGACAGUAUUUUUUUUUUUUUAAAGACCUCAUGCUGGCAAACAGGGCUUGACUUACUAGAACAUAACAACUUUUUGGAGUCUCUGGGUCUGUGAUGUAAAUUGCAGUUUGUUUUUAAGAGGCUUUCGUAACCCACUAUGUAAAUACACUUAUUUGCAUUAUUUCCAAAACACUUGAUUUGAAGCCACAGUCCUUCCAGCCUUACCUUCCAUGUGGUGUGACACUAAGGAUCUCCAGGCUUGAAUUCCAGCAUGCCACUUUGUCAUCUUCAAACUUAGGGAGAGCUGGAACAACCUGGCCACCUGCUUCGGAGGAAAGAGGGUCCCUGGCUCUCGGUUCUCACACACUUGACCUUUGUUGAGUUAAACUGCAGGGAACCCAGGUGAGCUGAACUUCUCGGGCUUUAGACUCAGUUUCCUAGGGGCUUCCAUCUAUUGGCCGCUUCUCUCAUGCUCUCCUAUGUUGGACAGCCCUCCUCCACCUGCUCCAUUCUGACUUUCUGCUGGGGCCACAGGUGAGCGUCAGCAAAGUCAACACUUUGUGGUGAUGCUGGGCUCCCACGCCGGAUCACAGCUUCUGGGGCUGUUGAUCUAUCUACCUACCUACCCUUGGUUCAGGCUGUGGGGCUGGCUGCUGGACCAUUUGGAUUUUGCUUGACUUGGACUCCAUUUUAAGGGAGGAGUUGGAGAUGCCCCAGGACAGAUAAAACCAAAGAGAAGAAACACUUGAAUCCCUUUUGAGCAAGCCCUCUGCCAGGUGUGCCAACUUGCUUUAUAUAUUUCUUCAUACAUACACGCAUGUAUGCACACACACACACACACACACACACACACACACACACACACUGGGGAUUGAACCAAGGGAUUCAUGCACACACGCUAGGCAAGCAUUCUACCUACCACUGAAUGGCAUCCCAAACCUCUAUUUAUUGAUUGAUUGGUUGGUUGAUUGAUCUGGAUUGGUCUCACUGGUCUGGAAUGCACUGUGUAGCCCAGAGAGACCUUGAAUUUCUGAUCUUCUUGUCUCAGCCUCCCAAGAAGUUGGGAUUACAGGCUCUCUCCACCGGGUUCAGUGUAAUUAUUCCUCUAUGUAGCCUUUGAUUGCUCCCUCUGUGAUUAUAAUUCAUUUUACCAACCACUUCUCCCCGUUUUUUCAUCAUUUAAAGCUUAAAUAGAGACAAUAAAGGGAAAGAAUUUUAAAGAAGGGGGGAGGGUCAGAUACCAUUCGUGCCCCAGGGAGCUCUGCCUCCCUCUGUCUUGCCUGUCAGUCAAGUUCUUGAUCCAGCGCCAAAGGAACCUCUUAACCUUGAAGACAGUUUUCUGGGAGAGGAUUUAAUCUCACACCUAACAUCAUUAUUCUUGGCAGCCCUGUCUCUCCAUAGAGGUUAAAAUUCCCUCUUGGGAGGUGAGACCUCAGCCCCAGAGAUGGCUCAGAAAGGCCUGUGGUUGCCGUCUUAUGAUUGGCAGAAGAGCCAGCUCACCAGUUAUAAUUCCUGUUUUCUCAUUUGCAUAACUUUCUCACGCCGAGGUGAUUGAGGGGAAUGCUGGGUAGUCGUUCUCCUUCCAUCUUUCCAGUCUGACUUCAUAGCUCGAACAGACUGGAGCACGCUCUGCUUCCAUUUUGGUUAUCAUCGUGAAGCGUGCUUUAAAUGUCUUCUCUUCGGGAAUGCUCGUCGUACAUAGACAUCGGUGCGCCCUGCCCCAAAGGCAUCCCAAUAGCUGUGACAACAGAAUGUGAAUAUUUAUAUAACAGGAAGGGGACAAUUCGGGAGGUGAGGAGGUGCUUCCAUAAGAGCACAGCUUCCACAAACUUAAAGGUCUGAGUUCAGCUCCCUGGCAUCCAUAUAAAACCUGGGAGAGGCUGUGAGUGCCCAUAACCUCGGCACUGACAGAUGUAGAGACAGUUCCUAGGAGCUUGCAGGCUAGCAGCCUUGCCAAAAAACUUAAAAAGCCUGCAACUACACUCUACAACCUGCAGAUGAGCAAACUCACCAGUUAAAAUUCCCAUUUGCAUAAUAUUCUCAGAGCCCAAUGCUCUGAGGUUUACUGAGAGACCCUGUCUGUGGGUGAUAAGGUAGAGAGUGAGAGGGCGAUUCUCCUCUUCCCUGGCGGACGGUCUCCUCAGUCAGGCAUACACCUGCAUAUGCUAGUCACCAAAGGUAGGUAGGUAGAUAGAUAGAUAGAUAGAUAGAUAGAUAGAUAGAUAGAUCGAACUUUAAGAAAACUGUUGUGAUUUAGGUCGUAAAGCAUGGCAGAAAACAAAUUCCUCAAAACCAGGUGGAAAAGGUUCUAGAACUUUUAUUUAUUCAUAAACAGCAAAAAGCAAAUAAAUGGUAAAACGGGCCCGCACUCGUUCAUUCACACACUCACACACACACACACACACACACACACACACACUCUCUCUCACUAACCUUUCAGCCUGGCAGGCAUAGCCUUAGCUCCUGGCAGCACGGCAGCACACAGGUAAAAUGCGACUCGGUGUUCCUGGCUUCGGAUCCUCUGGAGCUGAGCUGCGCAGUACAGGCUUCACUGUCUACGCACCGAUGUUCGAGUGAGCAUCCAAGUGGGGUCCACGCAGAUUAUUUCUCAACUCGAAGUUUCUCUGCCGGGCCCUCGGGAGAGUGAAGAACAGACCUGCCC